rnacentral:rRNA from 1 species
CCUACGGGAGGCAGCAGUGGGGAAUAUUGGACAAUGGGCGAAAGCCUGAUCCAGCCAUGCCGCGUGUGUGAAGAAGGCCUUCGGGUUGUAAAGCACUUUCAGUGGGGAAGAAAGCCUUGGGGCUAAUACCCUCGAGGAAGGACAUCACCCACAGAAGAAGCACCGGCUAACUCCGUGCCAGCAGCCGCGGUAAUACGGAGGGUGCGAGCGUUAAUCGGAAUUACUGGGCGUAAAGCGCGCGUAGGCGGUCUGAUAAGCCGGUUGUGAAAGCCCCGGGCUCAACCUGGGAACGGCAUCUGGAACUGUCAGGCUAGAGUGCAGGAGAGGAAGGUAGAAUUCCCGGUGUAGCGGUGAAAUGCGUAGAGAUCGGGAGGAAUACCAGUGGCGAAGGCGGCCUUCUGGACUGACACUGACGCUGAGGUGCGAAAGCGUGGGUAGCAAACAGGAUUAGAUACCCCUGUAGUC